rnacentral:rRNA from 1 species
GACGAACUGUCCUAACGUUGUUCGGAAUCACUGGGCUUAAAGGGCGCGUAGGCGGUCCGACAAGUCAGGGGUGAAAUCUUGCAGCUUAACUGUAAAAGUGCCUUUGAUACUGUCGGUCUUGGGGGAAAUAGGGGUGUGCGGAACUUCCAGUGGAGCGGUGAAAUGCGUUGAUAUUGGAAGGAACGCCGGAGGCGAAAGCGGCGCACUGGAUUUCUUCUGACGCUGAGGCGCGAAAGCUAGGGGAGCAAACGGG